CACGGGGGUUGCGAGCGUUGUCCGGAAUUACUAGGCGUAAAGGGCAGGCAGGCGGAUCCAUAAGUUUAUCGUUUAGGGCGUCGGCUUAACCGGCGUAGGGCGGUAGAUACUGUGGAUCUGGAAUGCGGUUGGGGAAGACAGAAUUCCUGGUGUAGCGGUGGAAUGCGCAGAGAUCAGGAGGAAUACCGAAGGCGAAGGCAGUCUUCCAAGCCGUUAUUGACGCUCAACUGCGAAGGUGUGGGUAUCAAACAGGAUUAGAUACUCGUGUAGUCCCUGA
rnacentral:rRNA from 1 species